rnacentral:rRNA from 1 species
AUACCCGCGCCCCAAGUGGUGGCCGAUAUUAUUGAGCCUAAAACGUCCGUAGCCGGUCUUUUAAAUCCUUGGGUAAAUCGGGCAGCUUAACUGUCCGACUUCCGAGGAGACUGGAAGACUUGGGACCGGGAGAGGUCAGAGGUACUUCUGGGGUAGGGGUAAAAUCCUGUAAUCCUGGAAGGACCACCGGUGGCGAAGGCGUCUGACUAGAACGGAUCCGACGGUGAGGGACGAAGCCCUGGGGCGCAAACGGGACUAGAUACCCCGGUAGUCCAGGGUGUAAACGCUGCGGGCUUGGUGUUGGGGGUCCUUUGUGGGCGCCCAGUACCGGAGAGAAGUUGUUAAGCCUGCUGCUUGGGGAGUAUGUCCGCAAGGAUGAA